CAGUAGCCGCGGGAAUACGUAGGUGGCAAGCGUUGUCCGGAUUUAUUGGGCGUAAAGCGAGCGCAGGCGGUCAAUUAAGUCUGAUGUGAAAGCCCCCGGCUCAACCGGGGAGGGUCAUUGGAAACUGGUUGACUUGAGUGCAGAAGAGGAGAGUGGAAUUCCAUGUGUAGCGGUGAAAUGCGUAGAUAUAUGGAGGAACACCAGUGGCGAAGGCGACUCUCUGGUCUGUAACUGACGCUGAGGCUCGAAAGCGUGGGUAGCAAACAGGAUUAGAUACCCCGGUAGUCCCUGUCUCUUAUAC
rnacentral:rRNA from 1 species